rnacentral:rRNA from 1 species
GACGAACGCUGGCGGCGUGCUUAACACAUGCAAGUCGAACGGUAAGGCCCUGCUUUUGUGGUGUGCUCGAGUGGCGAACGGGUGUGUAUCACGUGAGUAACCUGCCCUUGACUUUGGGAUAACUUCAGUAAACUGGGGCUAAUACCGGAUAGGACCUCCUGCUGCAUGGUUGGGGUUGGAAAGUUUCGGCGGUUGGGGAUGGACUCGCGGCUUAUCAUUUUGUUGGUGGGGUAGUGGCUUACCAAGGCUUUGACGGGUAGCCGGCCUGAGAGGGUGACAGGCCACAUUGGGACUGAGGUACGGCCCAGACUCCUACGGGAGGCAGCAGUGGGGAAUAUUGCACGAUGGGCGGAAGCCUGAUGCAGCAACGCCGCGUGCGGGAUGACGGCCGUCGGGUUGUAACCCGCGUGCGCCUGUGACGAAGCGUGAGUGACGGUAAUGGGUAAAGAAGCACCGGCUAACUACGUG